UGGGGAAUAUUGCACAAUGGGCGAAAGCCUGAUGCAGCAACGCCGCGUGAGUGAUGACGGCCUUCGGGUUGUAAAACUCUGUCUUCAGGGACGAUAAUGACGGUACCUGAGGAGGAAGCCACGGCUAACUACGUGCCAGCAGCCGCGGUAAUACGUAGGUGGCAAGCGUUGUCCGGAUUUACUGGGCGUAAAGGGAGCGUAGGCGGAUGUUUAAGUGGGAUGUGAAAUACUCGGGCUCAACUUGAGUGCUGCAUUCCAAACUGGAUAUCUAGAGUGCAGGAGAGGAAAGGAGAAUUCCUAGUGUAGCGGUGAAAUGCGUAGAGAUUAGGAAGAAUACCAGUGGCGAAGGCGCCUUUCUGGACUGUAACUGACGCUGAGGCUCGAAAGCGUGGGGAGCAAACAGG
rnacentral:rRNA from 1 species